GCAGCAAUAGCUCAAAUUUGAAAUCUGGCGUCUUCGACGUCCGAGUUGUAAUUUGUAGAGGAUGCUUCUGAGUGGCCACCGACCUAAGUUCCUUGGAACAGGACGUCAUAGAGGGUGAGAAUCCCGUAUGCGGUCGGAAAGGCGCUCUAUACGUAGCUCCUUCGACGAGUCGAGUUGUUUGGGAAUGCAGCUCUAAAUGGGAGGUAAAUUUCUUCUAAAGCUAAAUAUUGGCCAGAGACCGAUAGCGCACAAGUAGAGUGAUCGAAAGAUGAAAAGCACUUUGGAAAGAGAGUUAAAAAGCACGUGAAAUUGUUAAAAGGGAAGGGAUUGCAACCAGACUUGCUCGCGGUGUUCCGCCGGUCUUCUGACCGGUCUACUCGCCGCGUUGCAGGCCAGCAUCGUCUGGUGCCGCUGGAUAAGACUUGAGGAAUGUAGCUCCCUCGGGAGUGUUAUAGCCUCUUGUGAUGCAGCGAGCGCCGGGCGAGGUCCGCGCUUCGGCUAGGAUGCUGGCGUAAUGGUCGUAAUCCGCCCGUCUUGAAACACGGACCAAGGAGUCUAACAUCUAUGCGAGUGUUCGGGUGUCAAACCCCUACGCGUAAUGAAAGUGAACGGAGGUGAGAACCGCAAGGUGCAUCAUCGACCGAUCCUGAUGUCUUCGGAUGGAUUUGAGUAAGAGCAUAGCUGUUGGGACCCGAAAGAUGGUGAACUAUGCCUGAAUAGGGUGAAGCCAGAGGAGACUCUU
rnacentral:rRNA from 1 species